rfam:Ruminococcus sp. 18P13 draft genome.
AGAACGUUUCAGGGCGAGGUGCAAUUCCUCACCGGUGGUGAUGCGGCAUGCUGCAAAGUCCACGAGCCGAAAGGCUGAAUCGGUGCAAAUCCGAUACCGACGGUUAUAGUCCGGAUGAGAGAAACAAAAC